UUUAAAUUUCAGUCGAAUAUGUGCUAAGUGAUCGAGCAGAAGUUACUCUCCUCUCGCAAACUCUCGACGCCUGACAGCGCCAGGCUGGCAAAGAUAUAUAGUUAGUAGCAGAGACACUCCUAAACCGUAGAUGCUCUGGGUAUAGAGCAGACGUGAGCUGUGGUUUUUCUGCAGAUCCGGCUUUUAAAUCGAAGUGAAACGAAAUCGGAUAAUUUAUUCAGUGGCUUCACGUUAUUCAUAAAACAUUGUUCUCUUCGUUGUUAUCUGUCGCGGGAAUUUUUAAAACAUUGAUUUCAUCGCAUAUCUUAAGUUCUGCUGUAGGCUGUAAGUGCUGAAGUAUUAAUGCCUGCUUUCUCCUGCAAUUUGUAGAUUUGUGAUCGCAGCAGUUUAUAUUUUUUGUUAUAAAAAUUUUUAAGUUUCGCAAACAAAACAUCACUUCUCUGAAGACACAAACACAUUUAGAAGCGGUAAGGAAAGUGAAACGCGACGAGCAAACAAACGUGUAUGAAAAUCGUAUCUCUGUGUGAUUGUUUUACAUUUGUGGUUUUUUUUAUAUCGAAGAAGCAAACGAAAAAUAAAUUCAAAAGGAAAAAAAGUUCUGAAGAAUAACAGCCGUGUGCGAAGCGAAGAAACCUGAUAAAUAAAUAAAUAAAGUGAAUAAAAUACCUUCCAGUGCUUGUUUCUUUUCAAAACUCCUUCGGAGCCAGUAGUUGUUCUCAACGAAAAGAAUCGGCAGCAGCCAGCAACAGUGCACGGUUCGAAUUGGAACACUUGCCUUCCAUCGUCGUCGUCAUCGUCAUUCUCGUUGACGUUGGAUUUUCGUUUGUUUGAGAAUCGCGCAAUUCGAAACAGUUCGCCGGCAAGAUGGCAGAUGAUUUGCGGGAUCGUAACGAUCCGGAGUUGAAGUACCUUUCGGUCGAGCGCAACUCCUUCAACGAUCCGGCCACGCAAGCGGAGUGGACACAGAAACGGCUCGUUUGGGUGCCACAUGAGACACAGGGCUUCGUCGCUGCCAGCAUCAAAGGAGAACGUGGCGAUGAGGUCGAGGUGGAGCUGGCCGAAACGGGCAAACGCGUCCUUGUGCUCAAGGAUGAUAUCCAGAAGAUGAACCCGCCCAAAUUCGACAAGGUCGAGGAUAUGGCCGAGCUGACCUGUCUGAACGAGGCUUCCGUGCUGCACAACAUCAAGGAUCGAUACUACUCCGGAUUGAUCUAUACAUACUCCGGCCUGUUCUGCGUCGUGGUCAAUCCGUACAAAAAGCUGCCCAUCUACACCGAGAAGAUUAUGGAAAAAUAUAAAGGCAUCAAACGGCACGAGGUGCCGCCACACGUAUUCGCCAUCACAGACACCGCGUACAGAUCGAUGCUGCAAGAUCGAGAAGACCAGUCCAUUUUGUGUACCGGUGAGUCGGGAGCCGGUAAGACCGAAAACACAAAGAAAGUGAUACAGUAUUUAGCGUACGUAGCCGCAUCCAAACCGAAGGGAUCCGUUGCGGCACCGUCACCAGCACUUAUUAUCAGUGGUCACUCAUCAAGCCUAUCGGGGGAACUGGAGCAGCAACUUCUGCAAGCGAACCCGAUCCUGGAAGCUUUCGGUAAUGCCAAAACGGUGAAAAACGACAACUCAUCUCGAUUUGGUAAAUUCAUUCGGAUAAACUUCGACGCUUCCGGGUACAUCUCCGGUGCCAACAUCGAGACCUACCUGCUAGAAAAGUCCCGUGCCAUUCGCCAAGCGAAAGAUGAACGUACAUUCCACAUUUUCUACCAGCUGAUCGCGGGGGCUUCCCCCGAUCAGCGGGACAAAUUCAUCCUGGAUGACAUGAAAACGUACCCGUUCCUGUCCAACGGGAGUCUGCCCGUUCCCGGCGUGGACGACCAUGCCGAGUUCCAGGCUACGGUUAAGAGUAUGCAUAUCAUGGGCAUGACCGAGGAAGAUUUCAACUCGAUCUUCCGUAUCGUCAGUGCCGUGCUGCUGUUCGGUUCGAUGAAGUUUAAGCAGGAGCGCAGCUCCGAUCAAGCCACGCUACCGGACAACACGGUCGCACAAAAAAUCGCACACCUGCUGGGACUGAGUGUGACGGACAUGACCAAGGCAUUCCUGACGCCACGCAUCAAGGUGGGCAGGGAUUUCGUCACCAAGGCACAAACAAAGGAGCAGGUGGAAUUCGCCGUCGAAGCCAUCGCCAAGGCGUGCUACGAAAAGAUGUUCAAAUGGCUCGUCAAUCGAAUCAAUAGGUCGCUUGAUCGAACGAAACGGCAGGGUGCAUCCUUCAUCGGUAUUCUCGAUAUGGCCGGUUUCGAAAUUUUCGAUCUGAACUCGUUCGAACAAUUGUGCAUUAACUACACGAACGAAAAGUUGCAGCAACUGUUCAAUCACACCAUGUUUAUUCUGGAGCAGGAAGAGUACCAGCGAGAAGGUAUUGAAUGGAAGUUUAUCGACUUCGGACUUGAUCUGCAGCCAACGAUUGAUUUGAUCGAUAAACCUGGCGGUAUUAUGGCUUUGCUAGACGAGGAGUGUUGGUUCCCCAAGGCAACUGACAAAACGUUCGUGGAGAAGCUAGCCACCGCUCAUACAAUGCAUCCCAAGUUCAUGAAGACCGAUUUCCGUGGGGUCGCUGAUUUCGCCGUAGUUCACUACGCUGGCAAGGUCGACUACUCUGCUACCAAGUGGUUGAUGAAAAACAUGGAUCCGCUGAAUGAGAACAUUGUUUCGCUUCUGCAAGCAUCCCAGGAUCCGUUUGUAUGCCAAAUCUGGAAGGAUGCCGAGAUUGUUGGAAUGGCUCAACAGGCGCUUACCGAUACUCAGUUCGGAGCCCGCACCCGUAAGGGUAUGUUCCGAACAGUGUCCCACCUGUACAAGGAACAACUGGCCAAACUCAUGGAUACCCUUCGUAACACCAAUCCGAAUUUUGUUCGGUGUAUCAUCCCGAAUCAUGAAAAACGUGCUGGAAAAAUUGAUGCUCCUCUGGUUUUGGAUCAGCUACGUUGCAACGGUGUCCUCGAGGGUAUCCGUAUUUGUCGGCAGGGCUUCCCCAAUCGUAUUCCCUUCCAAGAAUUCCGUCAGCGCUAUGAACUACUCACUCCGAACGUCAUACCGAAAGGUUUCAUGGACGGUAAGAGAGCCUGUGAGCAGAUGAUCAAAGCCCUCGAGCUGGACGGUAAUCUGUACCGAAUCGGUCAAUCGAAGAUAUUCUUCCGUGCUGGAGUGCUGGCUCAUCUCGAGGAGGAACGUGAUUACAAAAUCACCGACCUGAUUGUCAAUUUCCAAGCGUACUGUCGAGGUUUCCUAGCUCGCCGCAACUACCAGAAACGUUUGCAGCAGUUGAAUGCCAUCAGAAUUAUUCAACGGAACUGCGCCGCCUAUUUGAAGUUGCGUAACUGGCAGUGGUGGAGACUGUACACCAAGGUAAAACCUUUGCUUGAAGUUACCAAACAGGAGGAAAAGUUAGUCCAGAAAGAGGAUGAACUGCGGCAGAUCCGUGACAAGCUGGAUAACUUGUCGAAGAGCUCUCAGGAGUAUGAGAAGAAGUUUCAACAAGCGGUGGAGGAAAAGACCCAUCUGGCAGAGCAACUUCAAGCGGAAAUAGAAUUGUGUGCCGAGGCAGAGGAGGGACGUGCAAGGUUAGCUGCCCGCAAACAGGAACUGGAAGAGCUUAUGCAAGAUCUUGAAGCUCGAAUCGAAGAAGAGGAAGAACGCGUGAAUGCCUUAACCAGUGAAAAGAAGAAACUUCAGAUCAACAUUCAGGAUUUGGAGGAACAGCUCGAAGAGGAGGAAGCUGCCCGUCAAAAGCUUCAACUUGAGAAAGUUCAACUUGAUGGCAAGCUGAAAAAGAUGGAAGAAGACGUUGCCUUAACCGAGGACCAGAAUCAGAAGCUGCUCAAGGAAAAGAAAAUACUGGAAGAACGUGCCAACGAUUUGUCCCAAACUCUUGCCGAAGAGGAGGAGAAAGCCAAACAUCUUGCCAAACUGAAAUCGAAGCAUGAAUCUACCAUCGCCGAGCUAGAGGAACGCCUGCUGAAAGACCACCAGCAGCGCCAGGAAUCGGAUCGGUCCAAGCGGAAAAUCGAAACCGAGGUUGCCGAUCUGAAGGAACAGAUCAACGAACGGGGUAUGCAGAUCGAGGAAAUGCGCCAGCAGUUGUUCAAACGAGAGGAAGAACUGGCCCAAACGCUGGUUCGAGUCGACGAAGAAUCGGCGUCCAAGGCGGCCGCCCAGAAGGUGCAACGCGAACUGGAAUCGCAGCUAGCGGAAAUUCAGGAGGACCUGGAGGCGGAAAAGUUGGCUCGCUCGAAGGCCGAAAAGCAGAAGCGUGACCUGAACGAGGAACUGGAAGCGCUGAAGAAUGAGCUGCUGGAUUCGCUGGAUACUACUGCGGCUCAACAAGAGUUACGCUCCAAGCGGGAACAGGAAGUGGCAACUCUCAAGAAAACACUGGAGGAUGAAGCGGUCAAUCAUGAAAGUCAAAUGUCCGAAACACGCCAUAAGCACGCCCAGGAAGUGGCCUCCAUCAACGAGCAGUUGGAAAAUUUGAAGAAACUGAAAGGAAGCUUGGAGAAGGCGAAACAGACACUGGAAGCGGAGAAUGCCGAUUUGGCCACCGAUUUGAGGAACGUCAACCAAUCGCGUCAGGAGAAUGAUCGUCGCCGGAAGCAGGCGGAAACGAUGGUUGCUGAAUUACAGGUUAAACUUGCCGAGGUCGAGCGAGCACGAUCCGAACUGCAGGAGAAGGUAAGCAAACUGCAACAGGAAUCGGAAAGCAUUACCCAGCAGUUGGAUGAAGCAGAACUGAAGGCAUCCGCCGCUAUCAAGAGUGCCAGUAGCAUGGAGAGUCAGUUGACGGAAGCGCAGCAGCUGUUGGAGGAAGAAACACGUCAAAAGUUGGCACUCAGUUCCAAGUUGCGACAACUGGAAAGUGAAAAGGAAUCCCUCCAGGAACAGCUGGAAGAGGAUGAGGAGGCCAAGAAAAAUUACGAGAAAAAGUUGGCCGAGCUGAACUUCGCCAUUCAAGAGAUGAAGAAACGAUCGGAAGAGGAGUCCGAUUUUGCCAAGGAACUCGAAGAAUCCAAGAAAAAGAUGAACAAGGACUUGGAGACGCUACAGCGUCAAAUCCAAGAGCUACAAGCUGCCAACGAUCGGCUGGACAAGAGCAAAAAGAAGAUUCAGAGCGAACUGGAAGAUGCCACCAUCGAGCUGGAGACGCAGCGCACCAAGGUUCUAGAUCUGGAGAAAAAGCAAAAGAAUUUCGACAAAGUGCUGGCCGAAGAGAAGGCAGUCAGUGAACAACAUGCCCAGGAACGGGAUGCUGCCGAACGGGAAGCUCGUGAGAAGGAAACAAAGGUUCUGUCCCUAACGCGAGAGCUGGAUGAGGCGUACGAAAAGAUUGAUGACCUGGAAACCAAACGAAAGGCGCUACAGAACGAACUGGAUGAGUUGGCUAACACACAGGGUACAGCUGACAAAAACGUUCACGAGCUGGAGAAGGCAAAGCGUGCACUGGAGAGUCAAUUGGCGGAACUGAAGGCACAAAACGAGGAACUAGAGGACGACCUGCAGCUCACCGAGGAUGCCAAACUGCGGCUGGAGGUUAACAUGCAAGCCCUCCGUGCACAGUUCGAACGAGAUGUGCAAGCCAAGGAAGAACAAUCUGAAGAGAAACGACGUGGUUUGGUGAAGGCACUUCGCGAUCUUGAGGCCGAGCUGGAUGAGGAACGCAAACAGCGAGCUGCUGCUGUUGCCGCGAAGAAGAAGCUCGAAGGUGACCUGAAGGACAUCGAGGCGACGCUAGAAAUGAACAACAAAAUUAAGGAAGAUGCUCUCAAACAGGCCAAAAAAUUGCAGGCCCAAGUCAAGGAUGCCAUUCGAGAUGCCGAGGAAGCUAAGGCAGCUAAGGAGGAGUUAGCGGCCGUUAGUAAGGAAUCCGAACGCAAGGUAAAAGCCUUGGAAGCGGAGGUCAUGCAACUUUCGGAAGACUUUGCCAGUUCUGAACGUGCCAGACGAGCGGCCGAGGCGGAACGCGACGAGCUACUGGAAGAAAUCAACUCCAAUUCCAACAAGGGCUCGCUUAUGAUUGACGAGAAGCGUCGAUUAGAGCUGCGAAUCGCUGGUCUAGAAGAGGAACUGGAAGAUGAACAAUCUCAAAACGAAAUGCACGUGGAUCGGCUCCGUAAGGCACAACUACAAAUCGAACAACUCUCCACCGAACUGCAAGCGGAGAAGUCCAACUCACAAAAGUACGAGAACGUUAAAACUGGUCUUGAACGUCAGAACAAGGAACUGAGAGCCAAACUAUCGGAGCUGGAAACCGCCCAACGAACCAAGGUGAAAGCAGCAAUGGCCAGCUUGGAAGCCAAGAUCGCCAACCUCGAAGAGCAGCUUGAGAGUGAAGCCAAGGAACGGUUAACGGUGCAAAAGUCCAACCGUAAGCUGGAGAAGAGGAUCAAGGAGCUCACGAUGAACAUCGAAGACGAGCGACGGCAUGCCGAUCAGUACAAAGAGCAGAUCGAAAAGAUGAACAACCGCAUGAAGAUUCUGAAGCGAAACCUGGACGAAGCGGAGGAGGAAAUUCAGAAAGAAAAGACCCAGAAACGCAAGGCGCUACGAGACUACGAAGACAUGAUCGAAAGUCACGACGCGCUGUCGCGGGAGGUGAAUUCGCUCAAAACGAAGAUCAGUUCACGAAAAGACUGAAGUUGCGCCCAUCCUUCGCCUCGGCGGGGGAAAUCGGCAACGCGGCAAAUCAGUUCCACCUCGUAAAACCCCACAGCAAGUCAUACUAGCAGUUGUUUUAUAUCCUGAUCCCUUAGCGUUAGUGUGAUAGAAAAUUUCCGUUGCUUCCGAUGGCUGUUCAAUAUACACUUCAAAUCUCAAACGUGACGCUUUAAGGUCAAGUUUGUCAACGUCAAAGACGCGGUGGCAUCGGCGUGAGUUCGUCCCGCCUAACGACACCGAAGCGCGAGAAUGACUCAAUCGUACAGGAUGAGUCGCUCGACGGUGAGGACAACAGCAACUGACCGACGAUCACGUCUUCCAACUAUCUUUCCAACUAUUACUAGGAACGAGUGGAAAUCAGUUGGAAUUAUUUUAAUAAGCAAACCGCUCCAGGAAACAGAAGCAACAGCAGCAGCAGCAAAAUCGCGAAUUGAGCGAGUGAAAGCGAGUGUCAUUUUUUUAUUGGGAAAUAAAUGCAAAAAACACAAACUAGCUGGGUGUAUGAAUGAGUGAAAGUCGAUGACGCAAAAAUUAUUCUUUGUUGUAUUAAACUAUUUCGUAAACAGUACGAGGAAAAAGGAUCAACAAUCAUUUUCCCUAAAUUUGCAUGUAUGUAGGAGCAAGAUAUGAAAUAGCAGUGGGGGAAUGAAAUGCCCAACCAGUCGGAAAAAAGCAGAGAAAUCGUUUUUAGCAAAUAAGCGAUGAACAUUUUCCUAAAUCAAAAAAAAGUAAAUAAAAUAAUGAAUACAAAAAAUCAGCUUCAUAAAAACAACAAUUACCAUUUCACAGACUAAUAAUUUACCGAGUAUAUCAAACUUACAAAAAUUGCAUUAGUAACCGAACAUUUGAUAAAAAAAAAAUAGGGGCGAGAGCAGGAUUUCGCCGGCACCGGUGUGUAGGACGAAGAUUAACACAUUUUAGCAAAGUAGGAUGGAAGCAGGAUGUUUUUAUACUAUCAAAAUAAAGAAAAAUAUUCAUAACAAGUGAACCGCGGAGCAUUUAGAUACGUUUAUAUAUGUUACGAAAAUUUAUUGUUUUUAAUUAUUAUUAAAGUAAAAAAAACUUCAUUCUUCACUUAUUGUCGUAUGAUUAAGUUUCACACCUCUGUUUUCCGCCUUAUUUUUUUUUCUACAUGCGGACAAAAUGCACUUACUUCAAAUACAAAAGCAUUAAGCUCACGAAACAUGAGAAGAUAAUAAUUCCAUUUUUAGCACUUUUGAAGUAAUGAAAUAAGCAGAAAGAAUCGUGAAAAAUCUGUAGCUGCCUAAGUAAAGUUCGCUUUUUUAUUAUAUAAUAUUAAUUAACAAGAAGAAAAGUCUCUAGUUGAAACUGAAGAAACCGUUGAAUAAAUAAAUAAAAAUAUUGCAAAUAAAAAGCUAUAAA